GUGGGCUCUCAGGGGUCUGGAGAUGCAGCCACUGUCACCUCAGCGCGUGGGGCGGGGCAACUGAGCCGAGCCUGGGUCUCAGUUCCGUGAACUUAGUGAAGGUGCUGCAGGGAGCAGGGGGCUGGACAAGGCUCCGAGAAAAGUUUGGAUGUUAACAUUCGCUCCUACUCCAGCCUGCCUUUAAGCGCUCACAGGAAGGGGAGGGAUAAAUUGCUGUUGUCUGUUUAAAAGGAAUGAUGGCCAGGUAAAUGGCUGAGUGGGUGGAGGAGCUUGCUGUCCAGCCUGAGAGCUUGAGUGAUCCAGUGACUCCUGCGGGUUUUCCUCUUACUUCCACAUGUGUGCCGUGGCAUCUGUGUAGCCACACACCACAUUCAUAUACACGCAUACAUACAGGUGGAGGCAGGAGGAUCAGGGCAGUUUAGAAGUCCGCUUGGCCGUGGAGACGCUGAGAAACAGAUUUCCAGGGGUCGUGGCUGCCAGUCCUGGUUCUUGGGACUUUCUCUCAGUAAGUCUGGUGAAUCCAGCCAUGCUUUUGAAACUGAAGGAGACUGGGCAGGAUGACGUGGCUGUAGAUGGAGAU